rnacentral:misc_RNA from 1 species
GUGAAUCAUCGAAUUUUUGAACGCAAAUUGCACUCUCUGGCAUUCCGGAGAGUAUGCCUGUUUGAGGGUCAGUUUUAAUAAAAAUAGGUGUGGUUGUUGACUUUCGUGGUGACGCAGCGGAUUUGGGUUGUUAUGUUUUUGGUUUAGUGACCUAAAAUUUUGCAUGUUUUUUUUCGUAUGUAUUUAACUGAUUUUACGUAUGUUUGCGAUAUUGAAUACU